UAACCAUCGUCGAAAGGCGGUGCUGAACGUACAGAAGUCAGCAGAGGCCAUAGUAGCCGAGAGGUAAAGGGC
rnacentral:ncRNA from 1 species